rnacentral:rRNA from 1 species
AUGCCCCGUUAUGACCUGGGCUACACACGUGCUACAAUGGUUGGUACAACGAGUUGCGAGUCGGUGACGGCGAGCUAAUCUCUUAAAGCCAAUCUCAGUUCGGAUUGUAGGCUGCAACUCGCCUACAUGAAGUCGGAAUCGCUAGUAAUCGCGGAUCAGCACGCCGCGGUGAAUACGUUCCCGGGCCUU